UACGGGGGGAGCAAGCGUUGUUCGGAUUUACUGGGCGUAAAGGGCGCGUAGGCGGCCGAGCAAGUCGGACGUGAAAUACCCCGGCUCAACUGGGGAAUUGCAUCCGAAACUGCUUGGCUUGAGUCCUGGAGAGGGUAGUGGAAUUCCCAGUGUAGCGGUGAAAUGCGUAGAUACUGGGAGGAACACCGGUGGCGAAGGCGGCUACCUGGACAGGUACUGACGCUGAUGCGCGAAAGCUAGGGGAGCAAACAGG
rnacentral:rRNA from 1 species